GUGGAUUAGAUACCCUGGUAGUCCACGCCGUAAACGAUGGGCACUAGGCGCUUGGGGGAGCGACCCCCCGAGGGCCGGCGCUAACGCAUUAAGUGCCCCGCCUGGGGAGUACGGCCGCAAGGCUGAAACUCAAAGGAAUUGACGGGGGCCCGCACAAGCGGUGGAGCAUGUGGUUUAAUUCGACGCAACGCGAAGAACCUUACCUAGGCUUGACAUGCAUGGGAAACCUCUCAGAAACGGGAGGCCCUCUUCGGAGUCCAUGCACAGGUGCUGCACGGCUGUCGCCAACU
rnacentral:rRNA from 1 species